rnacentral:rRNA from 1 species
GACGAACCGUGCGAACGUUAUUCGGAAUCACUGGGCUUAAAGGGCGCGUAGGCGGGCUGUCAAGUCUGGGGUGAAAUCCCGCGGCUCAACCGUGGAACUGCCUCAGAUACUGACGGCCUCGAGGAAGGUAGGGGCAUGCGGAACUGUAGGUGGAGCGGUGAAAUGCGUUGAUAUCUACAGGAACUCCGGUGGCGAAAGCGGCGUGCUGGACCUUUUCUGACGCUGAGGCGCGAAAGCUAGGGGAGCAAACGGGG